UAAAAUUGUUGCAUGAUAUAGCCUCAUUUUUAAUAGUUACAAAAAUAUCACGCUCAAUGUAUGUUACUAAACAGUCAUUCAUCCAUUCAUCUCUCAUUUGGUUACGGAGUUCAUUCUUCACGAUAUUUAUGGCUGAAAAUGUCCUUUCAACAGUUGCAGUAGCAACGGACAAAAGUAGAGCCAAUUUCAGCAACAAAUAGACUUGGGGAUACACAUCAUCCUUUCUUUUCUGAACCAACAUUUGAGCCAAUUCCCCAAUUCCUUCUAUACUCGAAAAAUUGGAAUCGGUUCUCUAUAUCCACAAUAUAGAAGAAUAGAAAAAUUGGCUUAAUGACUUA
rnacentral:lncRNA from 1 species